UACGUAGGGUGCAAGCGUUAAUCGGAAUUACUGGGCGUAAAGCGUGCGCAGGCGGUGAUGUAAGACAGUUGUGAAAUCCCCGGGCUCAACCUGGGAACUGCAUCUGUGACUGCAUUGCUGGAGUGCGGCAGAGGGGGAUGGAAUUCCGCGUGUAGCAGUGAAAUUCGUAGAUAUGCGGAGGAACACCGAUGGCGAAGGCAAUCCCCUGGGCCUGCACUGACGCUCAUGCACGAAAGCGUGGGGAGCAAACAGG
rnacentral:rRNA from 1 species